GACGAACGCUGGCGGCGUGCUUAACACAUGCAAGUCGAACGGAAAGGCCCUGCUUGCAGGGUACUCGAGUGGCGAACGGGUGAGUAACACGUGGGUGAUCUGCCCUGCACUUCGGGAUAAGCCUGGGAAACUGGGUCUAAUACCGGAUAGGAGCCAUUUUUAGUGUGAUGGUUGGAAAGUUUUUUCGGUGUAGGAUGAGCUCGCGGCCUAUCUGCUUGUUGGUGGGGUAAUGGCCUACCAAGGCGGCGACGGGUAGCCGGCCUGAGAGGGUGGACGGCCACAUUGGGACUGAGAGACGGCCCAGACAGCUACGGGAGGCAGAAGUGGGGAAUAUUGCACAAUGGGCGCAAGCCGGAUGCAGCGAGGCCGCGUGGGGGAUGACGGCCUUCGGGUUGAAAACUACUUUCGCUAGGGACGAAGCGUUUUGUGACGGUACCUAGAUAAGAAGCACCGGCUAACUACGUG
rnacentral:rRNA from 1 species